AUUGAGUCUCGGGAACAGAACCUAAACCAGUAGCCCCAUCCCACAAUUCCCUUAUCCACCCUCCAUCUUCAUCUUCUCCCUGAACAACCUUCACCUUUCUUCACACCGGAACCCUACCGUCGAACCAGCAACCCACUCGUCUCCUCAUCCCCACCACGUCGCCGGUUCAGAUUACCUCACCACCUCCACAUCUCCCUUGCCGGCGCCGCCCUGAAUAGCACCGCCGGUCAACCACAGCCCUACUUCUCCGUCGCCGGCUCUGAUUAGGAACAACAUCAGUUUCAAUGGUGAUGCCCUUGAUGAUUGUUGAUAAACCAACCGUUGUGGAAAUAUGAGUGAAACAAAACGAACAACCGCAACCGCCUUAGUAGAUGCCUUCCACAUAUUUCUCCGAGCCUCGAGGACGAUGCUACAUCUUAAGCUUGGGGAGAUUAGAGGUAAUUUUUAUGUUUUCAUCUUAGCAUGCAUUAUCUAGUUUGUAAAUAGUUGCAUUUUUCAUGUUCAUUGCAUUUAGGGUGUAUAUACAUGCAUUAAAAAACAAAAAUUUCAAAAAAAAAAAAAGAAAAAAAAGCCGUUUCUGUUCCGCUGAAAAUGGUUUGUAAAAAAUGAGAAAUGAUAUGAUUUCUAGCAUGUCAAAGCUUAUGCGUGAAAUGGUAACUUUGGGGAAGAAAACAUAGAUAAUUUGGGAUAUGUUGAUAGGCUCGGCCCUAACUUAGGAACGCCAAUGUUGUAUGCAAUAACCUUAAUUGAAUAUAUGUGUUUAGUUUCCCAUCUUGAUGCUUAUGGUCAAAAAUUGAUCCUGACCAAAAAUCGGUUGAGUUGCAUAUUCUCUAUCACACACCAUGUUCCCCAUAUCAUGACACCUCCGUAAUUUCAUUGAAAAAAAAAUAAAGAGGUGAAAAAUUGACCUCUAAGAGGUGAAAAAUUGACCUCAUAGGUUAUUAUAGUUAAAAAAAAAACAAAACAAAAAAAGAAAGAAAAAAGAAGGGGUAAAAGAGCACAAUGUAUGCCAAAAAUUUGAAAAAAAAAGAAGUUGAAAUAAAAAAAAUUGAGCAAAUUAGGGAGAAAAGUCCCGACCCCUUGAAAAACGGAAAAAAAAAGAUAAUAACUAUCGUGUCAUGGUUUGGAUGCAUGGUCGCAUCAAGUGUGGUUUUGGAUAUCUUCAAAAAGUCGUGAGGUUGGGUAGAUGUUGCCAUAGGUGUUGGGCGUGGGGACGAUUGAACCAUGUUGGUUAAUUUGUAUAUUAUUAAGCAGAAAACAUUUGGUUGUGAUUAAGCGGGUUUGAGUUUAAAAGGACACAAAAUAUCAACAAUCGCGGUUACACGUGUAAGUAUUUCCUGGGUUCGAAUGAAUGUAAUAAGAGUUGAUAAUGUUAGAUGUGAUCUCAUUACAAGUUUAUUUUCCGGAAUAAAAGAAGCGGGUUGAAAAAAAAAUUAGUAAGCAUGCAUAUGUGCAUUAUUUUUCGCGUUUAUUUCUCGGUUUAUUCUUAUUCUUGACUUCCUUGAGGACAAGGAAAUGUUUAAGCUUGGGGAGAUUUGUUAGUUGCAUUUUUAGGCAUGUUUUAUAGCACUAUAAUAUUAAAAUAACAUCACAUAUCAUGCAUAUAUCAUAGUCAAACAUCAUUAUUUUGUGAAACACUUGUUUUUGGUGGAAUGGAAUCUACUUUGGUUGGUUUACUUUCGUAGGCGCGGAACGAUCAUUAAGGAUUACAAUGGGAGUUGGAAAGAAAUGGAAGGAUUCGUGACGACAAAGAUAAGAUCUCAAAACAAGCGAAACGACAUGACGAGUGAACUUUCGGAUGGAUUUUAUUAUUAUUAUACAUCUUUUUAGUUGGAGGUGUAUAAUUUAAUAGUAUAAUGUUUGGAGUUUAAAGUUCAUAAAAGAAAAUAAAGACGUUUGGGCCUGGUCGUAAUAGCACCCACAUCUUGAUGCAAUCUAUUUUUUUUAGUGGGCUGCUAGCUAAGCAAUAUGGGCUGCCAACAAAAGAGAAUAUAUCAUCCUCAACAAACUUGAGGAUUUGGAGGAAAUGGCUGGGGACGGCUGGAAGUGAAAACAAGAAGGGAAUCCAUCUUUUGAGGGGGGAUUCGAAAUCAGAAACGAAAAGAAGGCACUUGGUGGUUUGGUGAUUUUCUAGAAAAAAAAAUUUUCUUUUGUUUUGUAAGUUUCAACUUUGAUUUAGUAUUUGUAAUGAUUCAACUAGCCAUUAUGUCUGGCUAGAACUAUAUAGUUUCGACAUCGGGGCAUAUUUUCUUUGAUUUAGUUAACAACCUUAUGUGAAACGGUUAUGUUAGAUCCAAUUAUUUUAGUGGUUUGUUUA